UGCGUAGGCGGAUUUGUGCGUCAGAGGUUAAAUGUCACAGCUUAACUGUGAACCUGCCUUUGAUACGGCAAGUCUGGAGUGCGGGAGAGGAAGGUAGAAUUCCUGGUGUAGCGGUGAAAUGCGUAGAUAUCAGGAGGAAUACCAGUGGCGAAGGCGGCCUUCUGGCCCGCAACUGACGCUGAGGCACGAAAGCGUGGGGAGCAAACAGGAUUAGAUACCCUGGUAGUCCACGCCCUAAACGAUGUAUGCUUGGUGUUGGGAGCUUUUGCUCUCAGUGCCGAAGGAAACCCAUUAAGCAUACCACCUGGGGAGUACGAUCGCAAGGUUGAA
rnacentral:rRNA from 1 species